GACGAACGCUGGCGGCGUGCUUAACACAUGCAAGUCGAACGAUGAAGCCGGAGCUUGCUCUGGUGAAUUAGUGGCGAACGGGUGAGUAACACGCGAGUAACCUGCCCUUGACUCUGGGAUAACUGCGGGAAACUGUAGUUAAUACCGGAUACGACCCUCGGAGGCAUCUCCUGGGGGUGGAAAGAAUUUCGGUCAAGGAUGGACUCGCGGCCUAUCAGCUAGUUGGUGAGGUAAAGGCUCACCAAGGCGACGACGGGUAGCCGGCCUGAGAGGGUGACCGGCCACACUGGGACUGAGACACGGCCCAGACUCCUACGGGAGGCAGCAGUGGGGAAUAUUGCACAAUGGGCGCAAGCCUGAUGCAGCAACGCCGCGUGAGGGAUGACGGCCUUCGGGUUGUAAACCUCUUUUAGCAGGGAAGAAGCGAAAGUGACGGUACCUGCAGAAAAAGCACCGGCUAACUACGUGCCAGCCGCCGCGGUAA
rnacentral:rRNA from 1 species